UAAACUGGGAUUUAGAUACCCCACUAUGCCCAGCCCUAAACUUAGAUAGCAAAAUACCACCUAUCCGCCAGAGAACUACAAGCAAAAUACUUAAAACUCAAAGGACUUGGCGGCAUUCCAUAUCAACCUAGAGGAGCCCGUCCAAUAAUCGAUAAUACGCGCUCAACCCAACCAUUUUUGGCCACUCCAGCCUAUAUACCGCCGUCGUCAGCUAACCUUAUGAAAGAAAAGAAGUAAGCACAAUAGCCCUCGCUAAAACGUCAGGUCAAGGUGUAGCUAAUAAAAUGGAUGUGAUAGGCUACAUUUUCUAUUAUAGAAAAUAACGGAAAAUACAAUGAAACCUUGUAAUAGAAGGUGAAUUUAGAAGUAAAUUAAGAAAGUAUCCUUAUUUUAACCUCGCUCUGGAAUGCGCACACACCGCC
rnacentral:rRNA from 1 species